GGUGUGUUCAGACUUAAUCAAUGUAGUGGCCCAGGCCCAUGAGCAGGGAAUGAGCUAAAACUUGUCCAUUGGACUUGAAAGCGAUUCAAUGAAGCAAACCAUAGGCAAGGCCUGGGCCUAUGUCCGACAGCAAGGAACGACCCCAGGUAUAAAUUCGUAUAUUUUGCAAUGGACAAUGUUAAAAGUUAAGAGCACAAUGUUGAAAAGGUCUCCCUGAGAAACUAUUCUUUGGUUUCUUCUUCAGAUUCAAAGAGCCAUUUGGUUUCAAGCCAUUCUGGAGGCAAGCAACCAUCGCCAAUAUUCAAAACCUCUUUGUUAGUCCAGUAACAUCACGUUGUUUGGAUGAUCCUAGGCCAGAUGUUCCUUAGUCUUCUAAACUAAU